CUCUGAUGAUGAUCCCGCCAUGCUAAUACUGAUGCGCCAGACUGACAGUGUCAGUGGGGGUGCAAGUGAGUUAAACUCACCUUCUCAUACUGACUGGUUCAGCGU
rnacentral:snoRNA from 2 species